rnacentral:rRNA from 1 species
UACGUAGGGUGCGAGCGUUGUCCGGAAUUACUGGGCGUAAAGAGCUCGUAGGUGGUUUGUCGCGUUGUCCGUGAAAACUCACAGCUCAACUGUGGGCGUGCGGGCGAUACGGGCAGACUAGAGUACUGCAGGGGAGACUGGAAUUCCUGGUGUAGCGGUGGAAUGCGCAGAUAUCAGGAGGAACACCGGUGGCGAAGGCGGGGUCUCUGGGCAGUAACUGACGCUGGAGGAGCGAAAGCGUGGGGAGCGAACAGG